UGGGGAAUAUUGGACAAUGGGCGCAAGCCUGAUCCAGCAAUACCGCGUGUGUGAAGAAGGCCUGAGGGUUGUAAAGCACUUUCAGCGAGGAGGAAGGGUAUAUGGUUAAUACCCAUAUAUUUUGACGUUACUCGCAGAAGAAGCACCGGCUAACUCUGUGCCAGCAGCCGCGGUAAUACAGAGGGUGCAAGCGUUAAUCGGAAUUACUGGGCGUAAAGAGUGCGUAGGCGGAUAUUUAAGUCAUGUGUGAAAUCCCUGGGCUUAACCUAGGAAUUGCAUCUGAUACUGGGUAUCUAGAGUAUGGUAGAGGACAGUGGAAUUUCUGGUGUAGCGGUGAAAUGCGUAGAUAUCAGAAGGAACACCAGUGGCGAAGGCGACUGUCUGGGCCAAUACUGACGCUGAGGUACGAAAGCGUGGGUAGCGAACAGG
rnacentral:rRNA from 1 species